UCUUUCUUGUUAAUUAAUUAUCUUCACUAUUUAAAUAAAUUUUGAUUAAUAAAAAGAUAUACAAUGUAGUUCGAUUCGUGCUUGGUUAUUGAUAAAAGUAAUUUUGUUUUAAAUGUGUUAUUCCCAAGUGUAAAACGCGAUCAAAUUACGUGCUGUACCUUUUACUGAUAGUGAUAACACUAGAUGGGAGGCAUGGUUCAUCAAUUGUCCAAUAUUACGGAAAUAUACUCGUAGGCAGUUAGAAAACGUUAAAAUUUGUGAAAACCACUUUCUACCCAGAAAAAAGACCUACUUAUUGGUAAUCAACGUGCACAGUGGUCCAUCAUUGAGGAGCUCUAUGCUACAGAUGGUGAAGCCGGACGUGCAAGAACCACAACCCUGACGGAUAAACACAUUAGACCAACUUCUUAUGACAAGAUGAAGG
rnacentral:lncRNA from 1 species